AUUUCCGGAGCUGAAAUUCAAAUAUGUUGAAGAGGAGCAGCCAGAAGAAUUCUUUAUACCAUACAUAUGGAGUGUGAUGUGCCAGGAAGCUCUAUUGCAUUGGAACGCUGAAAAUGUAAAACUCUUUUCAUCUAAUAAUGAAGAGUAAACUACUUUUGUUGUUUGCUGAUAACAAAGUUGUUUAGAUUAAGCUGUUUGUUUUGAGUGGUGACUGAUGGUCAAGGUGUCCCCCACCCCGUGGGUGGUUCGGGGAAGGUUUCCACCUUACCAGGGUCGAGACGCGGGGAAGUCAGUAAGUCUCGAACCUGUGAGUGCUACCGGUCGUGAUCCGAAUAAUAGAGUUUUGUGUUCUGCCGACGGGGUAAAUAAAGGAACGAACGACGA